CGUCGUGGCGGAUUGGCUUCCCCGACCUGUCCGCCUCUCGUACUUCCGGGUUUUCGCGUCAGCUCCUGCUUCCCCGGGAAAGAUGCGCCGUGGGCCACUCCCAUUGGCUGGCUCCUGUGUUGGUCUCGUGCCCGCAGCGGCCAAUAAGCAACAGGCGGGGCGGUGCCCGGGCGAGAGGCGGGAGUAGCGUGCGGAAAACCCGCGCGGGCGCGGAGAUCUGCGGGUAUGAUAGAUGCCGCGGUCGGAAACUGUAAAAUGGGGACAGUGUGAUGACAGUACUUCAUAGAGUUUUAUGUGAGGGCGAAGCGAGAUCCUACAUGUCUGGCACAAAUCUGACGUUUGCUGGUGGGAUGUGAGCAAGGAGCAAGGAGCUGCUGUCAGUCAUGCUGGGGAAACACCAACCUGAGAGUGAAGCCAACAGAGAUGAAAAAUAGAAAAAACCCAGUAUUGAUGCUCUCUUAGAUGAAUCAGAAUGUGAGGCGUUAUCUGCAAAUUCUCCUCUCUGCUGGAUACUGCUAAGAAAGGAGAAAAGAGGAUGGACAUGAGGGGAAGCCCACUGCCAUGCUUGAUUGAGGACACUCAAGCAGCCUAUAGACAGGCCCAUGUGGUGAAGAACUAUAACAACCAGAACUAACUUCCCAGCCAUGUGCAUGAACUAUUUUGGAAGUGGAUUCUGCAGCCCCUGUCUGGCCUUCAGAUGAUUUCUGGAAUAUGAGAGACCCUGAGCCAUGACCACUCAGCUAAGCUACCCCUGGAUUCCUGACCCACAGAAACUAUCUGAUUUGACUUGGAUUUCACUUACCAGUGAAAAAGACCAGUCUGAAAUGGACCAGAGAUGAGCAAUGGAGGGAGACGAAAUUUCUGAUGGCGUACCAGUUCCUGCAUCCAGCUGUUCCUGAAACCCAGCCAGGUCCCGCCUUUAAUAAUAGCAGGGGCAGCAGCAACAACAAACAUUUACUGAAUGCCUAUAAUAAAUCCCACCUUUUGCUAAUUUAGCUCCUCUUACUCGCAGCCGAGAAAGUCUU